GUUUUAAUAAUUUAAUGAAAAUAAUAGUCUUGUAAACUAAAUUUAGGUAUACAUUCCCUUUAAAACU
rnacentral:tRNA from 1 species